rnacentral:lncRNA from 1 species
AGUGACUCAUGGAGCACAACUCUGGACAGAUCAAACUGGAACAUGUUUCUUGAUAAGUCAAUGGAAAACGUCGUUUUGUUGGCUCCAAACAACAUCGAAGCAUCGCCUGUGAGCUUGUUCCUUGAGAAAUCUAUCCGGUUAAAAUCAAGGUUGCCUAGUGAUUUGGGUAUAGAACCGGAGAGCUGAUUGUGUGAAAAGAUAAGGUAAGGAACUUCUGCUGGAAACGAUCCAAAUGAUUCAGGUAUUGUACCUAAGUGAAAGUUAGAAAAAAAGCAUUUUAAUAAUCAUAUUUUAAGCGACGAAUAGUAGAAUCAAAGAGAUUUUGUGACCAAAAAAAAAAAGUAGAAUCAAAGAGAUUACUUAGUUUACCUGUAAGUUUAUUCCUACUAACAUCAAUGUACGAAAGUUUAGGUAACAAAGCGAGGGAGCUAGGUAUGGAACCAGAGAGCUGAUUGAAGGCAAGGCUUAAGUAUUCAAGAUUCAUGAGCUGACUAAGGAAAUCAGGAACCGGGCCGGUGAGGUUCAACCAGCUAAGCCUGAGAGAACGGAGAUGCUUAAGCUUGGUGAUGGUGGAUGGGAUCUGACCGGUGAUGUUAGUGAUCCUGUGGAACAUAAGAUUCUGAAGAUACGGUAAGUCACCCACUUCAGGCGGAAUCUGACCGGAUAUCUGACCGGCGAAUAUGGUUAGGGAGAUGACGCGGUGGUUAACGGUGGCGUCGCCGCAUUCGAGGCAGUACCAGGAGCAGCAGUCGGUUUCCGGGUGCCACGAGGCGAGGUGGUAAGGGUUGUUUAGGGACUUCUUGAUUUUAAGGAGGGUGUUUUUGUCGUUUUGGUUACAUAGAUCUUUCGAUGUCGCGAUGGUGAUGAGGUACGUGAUGAAAAACAAGAGCGAGAAAAGCAGUGUCGUGUUUGUCUUAUGAUCCAUGUUGUAUGGUGUUUGGUUUUGAAUAUUUUUUUUGUUGAAAGUGUGACGAUGAUAUAAACACUAUCGAGAUUAGAUAUUUGAUUUGAUAGAAACCUUAAUAGUCAGUCAAUACGUGUGAUUAAGAUGUCGGUGUUGAAUAUGGUUGGCUGGUGCCAACAUGCUGGCAGUCAACAUGUGCCACUUGAGUACUACUACUCUCUCAGCCACGGCUUCUAUUUUCUGAUUAAAAAAAAAAAAUUCAUAUGUAUAUAAAUGUUUGGGUUUAUAAUCUUACACGAAGCACUUUUAAGCUUCAAUAUAUGAAAUUUGCUUUUGAUACAAUUUUAAAACAGUUUCCACAAAUAGUUUUAUUUUCGAAAUGAGAAAAUUUAUAUAAUUUAAAACAGGAUUUGAAAAAUGAGAUGCACCAAAAAGAAAAUAGCAUCUAAAUGUAUUUCAUGAAACUAAAAUAUGACUAGAAAAGCAUCUGACAUGAAAUAACAUCUGGCGUGAGAGAAAAAGCAUGGAGCUGAUCCUUCUCCACCUAUCAAACUAGAAAAGCAUCUAUAGGACUAUCAGAAACAGAACAUAUGCAGAUGGGAUAGCAAUAUGGUUUGGCUCAAGGAUAAGCACCUAAAUCAUUCUUUACAUUCUUUUCUUCUUUAUUCUUUCUCUAUUUAGAAGUUAAAAACACCUUUCGGACACGGAAGCUCUAGAUGUUAAAUAAGGUUCUUAGUUUUUUUAGUUAAAAGUUAAGAAACGGUUUUUUAUAUUCCGCUAAGAACAAGAAACGGUUUUUUAUAUUCCGCUAAGAACCUCACCCUAAGAACUCUCCAUUAAUCAUGCUCUUAUAAGUGAAAAUAGAGGAUAAGUAUUCGUCCUUAUUCUUCCUCUAUUUGUGGUAAGCUCUACCUUCAUUUUCACUUUAAAAAUGUUCUAAGAACUCAUCAAAAUACAAGUUGUGAUACAUGUUUUAUUUAAUCAAUCUGGAUGAUAUUACAUUUUUUUUUUUGGGAAAACUAGAGAUAAGCUUGGUUUAUUACUUGCAACUAUCAAGAGGUGCACCACACAAACACUUGUUGUGAAAAUAUAUAUAAGAAUCAAAUCUCUGAAGACUGCCUCCAGUGGGGAUGGGUCCACACAGUCUGUUAUAGCUAACGUUUAAGAGUUGGAGAGAAUAUUCAGUCCACUGAACCGGAAUACUCCCUGUGAUCCCAUUGUGGUUCAAAUCCAGUACACCAAGUGACUGAGGGAGCACAACUCUGGACAGAUCAAACUGGAACAUGUUUCUUGAUAAGUCAAUGGAAAACGUCGUUUUGUUGGCUCCAAACAACAUCGAAGCAUCGCCUGUGAGCUUGUUCCUUGAGAAAUCUAUCCGGUUAAAAUCAAGGUUGCCUAGUGAUUUGGGUAUAGAACCGGAGAGCUGGUUGUGUGAUAAGAUAAGGUAAGGAACUUCUCCUGGAAACGAUCCAAAUGACUCUGGUAUUGUACCUAAGUGAAAGUUAAAACGUUGUGAAUAGAAAAAUAACAAUGUAAUAAACAGUUUAUUUUUUAUAAUCGUUUUUUUAUACAUAAAAGAGUUAUUCAC